rnacentral:rRNA from 1 species
UACGUAGGGUGCAGGCGUUAAUCGGAAUUACUGGGCGUAAAGCGUGCGCAGGCGGCUUCCUAAGUCAGAUGUGAAAUCCCCGGGCUUAACCUGGGAACUGCGUUUGAAACUGGGAGGCUGGAGUGCGGCAGAGGGGGGUGGAAUUCCACGUGUAGCAGUGAAAUGCGUAGAUAUGUGGAGGAACACCGAUGGCGAAGGCAGCCCCCUGGGCUGACACUGACGCUCAGGCACGAAAGCGUGGGGAGCAAACAGG